GGUCAUUUGGCCGAGUUGGUCUAAGGCGGCGGUCUUAAGAUCCUCUAUCGCGAGAUGCGUGGGUUCGAAUCCCACAGUGACCA
rfam:Puccinia graminis f. sp. tritici CRL 75-36-700-3 supercont2.61 genomic scaffold, whole genome shotgun sequence.